UACGGGGGGGGCAAGCGUUGUUCGGAAUUACUGGGCGUAAAGGGCUCGUAGGCGGCCAACUAAGUCGGAUGUGAAAUCCCUAGGCUUAACCUAGGAACUGCGUCGGAUACUGGAUGGCUUGAAUCCGGGAGAGGGAUGCGGAAUUCCAGGUGUAGCGGUGAAAUGCGUAGAUAUCUGGAGGAACACCGGUGGCGAAGGCGGCAUCCUGGACCGGUAUUGACACUGAAAAGCGAAAGCCAGGGGAGCAAACGGG
rnacentral:rRNA from 1 species